CCUACGGGGGGCAGCAGUGGGGAAUAUUGCACAAUGGGGGAAACCCUGAUGCAGCAACGCCGCGUGAGUGAGGAAGUAUUUCGGUAUGUAAAGCUCUAUCAGCAGGGAAUAGAAAAGAAGGUACCUGAAAAAGAAGCCCCGGCAAACUACGUGCCAGCAGCCGCGGUAAUACGUAGGGGGCAAGCGUUAUCCGGAUUUACUGGGUGUAAAGGGAGCGUAGACGGGAGAUCAAGUCAGCGGUAAAAUGUCGGGGCUCAACCCCGGCCGGCCGUUGAAACUGGUUUUCUAGAGUUGGAGAGAAGUAUGCGGAAUUCGUGGUGUAGCGGUGAAAUGCAUAGAUAUCACGAAGAACUCCGAUUGCGAAGGCAGCAUACCGGCUCCAUACUGACGCUGAGGCACGAAAGCGUGGGGAUCGAACAGGAUUAGAUACCCUUGUAGUC
rnacentral:rRNA from 1 species